GAUGAACGCUGGCGGCGUGCCUAAUACAUGCAAGUCGAGCGAACGGACGAGAAGCUUGCUUCUCUGAUGUUAGCGGCGGACGGGUGAGUAACACGUGGAUAACCUACCUAUAAGACUGGGAUAACUUCGGGAAACCGGAGCUAAUACCGGAUGAUAUUUUGAACCGCAUGGUUCAAAAGUGAAAGACGGUCUUGCUGUCACUUAUAGAUGGAUCCGCGCUGCAUUAGCUAGUUGGUAAGGUAACGGCUUACCAAGGCAACGAUGCAUAGCCGACCUGAGAGGAGGGUCGCCCCCAGGGGAGAUGAAACCGGGCCGAGCCCCAUGCGGGGGGCAGCAUGGGGGAAUCUCCCGGAAGGGGCGAAGUCCGGACGGGGCAGCGCGGCGGGAGUAAUGAGGGUUUCGGAAUCUUAAAACUUUUUUUUGGGGAAAAAACAUAUGGUGAGGAAACUGUGCCCAUCUGGACGGUCCCUAAUAAAAAGGCCACGGCAAACGACGUC
rnacentral:rRNA from 1 species